UAGGGGGUUUCCGCCCCUUAGUGCUGCAGCUAACGCAUUAAGCACUCCGCCUGGGGAGUACGGUCGCAAGACUGAAACUCAAAGGAAUUGACGGGGGCCCGCACAAGCGGUGGAGCAUGUGGUUUAAUUCGAAGCAACGCGAAGAACCUUACCAGGUCUUGACAUCCCGCUGACCGUUCUAGAGAUAGAUCUUUCCCUUCGGGGACAGCGGUGACAGGUGGUGCAUGGUUGUCGUCAGCUCGUGUCGUGAGAUGUUGGGUUAAGUCCCGCAACGAGCGCAACCCUUGAUCUUAGUUGCCAGCAUUCAGUUGGGCACUCUAAGGUGACUGCCGGUGAUAAACCGGAGGAAGGUGGGGAUGACGUCAAAUCAUCAUGCCCCUUAUGACCUGGGCUACACACGUGCUACAAUGGACGGUACAGAGGGUCGCAACCCCGCGAGGGUGAGCUAAUCCCAUAAAACCGUUCUCAGUUCGGAUUGUAGGCUGCAACUCGCCUACAUGAAGCCGGAAUCGCUAGUAAUCGUGGAUCAGCAUGCCACGGUGAAUACGUUCCCGGGCCUUGUACACACCGCCCGUCACACCACGAGAGUUUGUAACACCCGAAGUCGGUGGGGUAACCCUUACGGGAGCCAGCCGCCGAAGGUGGGACAGAUGAUUGGGGUGA
rnacentral:rRNA from 1 species